ACCAGAAUCCAGAAAAGACUCCAAUCAAUUAACUCAAGGUCACUGUGGCUUUGAUCGAGUCCUGUAAAUAAAAUCAAUAAGUUAGAAAGCAAGCCUCAAUAAGUCAGAAAGCAAGCCAAGUCAGGACAGGUUACAUAUUUCUACUACCACCUUGCAUGUUUCUACCACCACCUUUGCACACCCUUGGAGCACCACCUCGGCAUCCACAUCAACAUCAGCUGACCACCUCACCACCACUCCAACCAAUGGAAGCACGCCAACCAGGAUGAAGUCAAGCAUAAGGAGCCG
rnacentral:lncRNA from 1 species